ensembl:snoRNA
AUGCAACUAUUUGACAGACCUGGAGCAGUUACUAUCUGCUGCUAAGGUCUCCACUACAGAUGCAAGAAAAACAUGUCCUUGCGUUUUUCUGUCUAAUUGCGGCAGCUGAGAAUGAACAGAGGAAUACAGGG